rnacentral:lncRNA from 1 species
AUCCCAACCCUAUCUGCCCCUAUUUCAUUGGAAACAGCUUCAACUAUUUCUAAAGCAAAACGGCAACGGUUCUCUAAGGAUCCUCCAUACUGGUCUGUUCGAUCAUUCACUUGAUCCUUCAUAAAUUGGUCAAUUAGGUAGCCAUGUGCACCGUGGAGCUCAAUGCCAUCGAAACCUAUACAGCAUAAGACAAAGUUAGAAACCAAAAACCUGUACAGCAUGAACACUCCAUUUAUCUAACUCUUCUCAUAUAACUGAAAGCUCUGAGGCUCGCAUUGUGCGGACAGACAGACGGAGGGUCUAGCUUUCAUUUUAAGAACAAGAAAAAGUAUUUAAGCAUUUACUAGGUUGGCUCUCAAAGUUAAGGUUUAAGUUUUCAAAUUCUUUAUUCAAUAUGAUAAAUACAACUAUGGGACAAUAAGCAUAAUUGUAAAGAAACUUAAUUGUUUUCACAUAAACCUUACAGUACAAUAAAACAACAUUAUUUACAAGCCACAAAAGCCUAGUAAAAAUCUAUUAAUGCAUUUAUGUUUAGUUUCCCUUUCCUUCUGAUAGCCAUGCAUGGAAUGGAAGAAUCUCACUAUUCUUUUAUACUAUUUUCCUUAAUCUCAAGAAAAGUAGACCAUUGAAAUAUCACCCAUCCUGUGGCGACCUUAAAACACUUAUUGCCCACAAUUCAAUUUUUAAUUUCAGAAAAAAGAAUUUACCAGCCUCAAUUGCGUUUCUUGCAGCAAGCCUGAAAUCAUUCACAAUUUGAGGGAUUUCAUCUGUCCUUAGCCGCCUUGGACGAGUGAAUUGUGCAAUAUCAACACCAUUAGCGCGGAUUUGAGGUGUCAAUGGCUUGUCUGUACUGGAAAUUGGAGCUUGACCAUUUGGCUGAUAAUCUGUACAGUUCGAAGACAGGAAAAACCAAUGAAGAUCCAGUUGAAAUGAUUCUCAAAUUUCUAUAAAAUCAGUCAGAUCCAUCACAUGGAGGUUUUAAAAAAACUAUUGAAUGUCAUUUUAUUAACUGAAAAUAAAAUGCAAAAGGAUGGUGCAUCUGUAGGAUGAUCAGUACUCAAUUUGAGCAUUUGAUUAAUCCGAGCUGCUUAUUCUCUCAACACUUGCCUCAUAUUAGAUUACUGCAAUUCAAUAGCUUAAGCUCACGGUACCUUAUCUUAUUGUCAGAAAUAAAAUGUAUGUAUGAUCCUGAUAACUAAGUAACCAGUAACUGUCAAUAGAAGAGAGAGAUAUAGAACACACCUUGAUUUGAAACCCUGCCAACGUGCCAAAUCUGACAAAAGAAGGUCCCACCUUUGGCAUGAACAGCAUCUACAAUUGGUUUCCAUGCUUCAACUUGCUCCUUUGUCCAGAUACCAGGCGUAUCUGGAUACCUUACAAUAAAAGAAAUAACAGAACACACAAGAUUUUCAAGCAACUAAAUACAGGUAAUGCUUUCGAAACUCAAACAUACAAUUUCCUAUCUAUUUAAUGCCUCAAAAAACUCUUAAAACAGUUAAACGGAUGUAAAAUUACCCUUGAGCAGUGUCGGAAACUCCAGUGGCUUCGGCUAUAAGCAAACCCCCUUUGGUGGUUCUUUGAGAGUAAUACAAAAUGGCAUGUGGCUGAGGAACAUUGUUGUAUGAUCUCUGUCUAGUCAGUGGUGCCAAAACAACUCUGAAAUAAACAAAACAAGCAAGCCGCAAUUCAAUUAGCCCCAUCACCAAUAACUCAAACUCAAAAGAAAAAAACCCAUAAAAUUGCAACAUUACACUUAAACUGCCUCUGUAAAACUCUCAGUCAGAUCAUAGACCAAACGAACAAAUACAAAGAAGAUACAGAAACUAAAUCAGAUCAUACAUUCUAAUCAGUUAAGGGUAUUAUAAGUUAAUAACCGGGCGUGCUUCUGCUUAAUUACCAAAAUAGGACAGUUAAAAAGUGUUCCGUAAACACCAACAGUUUUACUCGAUAGCUACUGAUUCACUCCACAUAGAGACUGUGAAUUAAAAACCACAGUAACUAAAUCCCAAAUAUUUCCUAAUCCAUUCCAAAUAUUCACUAAUCCAUUCAUUCUAAAUGGACAAGGAUUCAGUGGUCCACUGCGUUUGCGCUGAGCCCUGGAUAAACAGUGAGAAUCUGAGUGCUCAUGAUGUGAAUGCUCGCCACUCAAAUGUACUUUGGCAGAUAUCACUUUCGUCAAUAAAGUUAACGCCAUACAAAAAUCCAUACAGCGAAAGAAAAUGUAAAUCCAAAAAAAUAAAAAUAAAAAACUCAAUGAAAUAAAAGGUGGGUACAAUCGGUACCUAUGAGAAAGAUUGAGACUGCCCAUAUUGUAAGGAGUGAGAAGAGGGAUGAUGGGAGUUUCAAUGGCCAUGUUACCGUUGUUCUCUUCUUGAUUUUGCUUAGUCUCCUCUGCUCUGCUUCCCAUGUUUAGUAGAAUUACAAGCAAAUUGAGAAUCCUUAACGCGACUGAAAAUAAAAUGAUUAAAGAAACGGAAGGGUUCAAUUGGGUAUUUAUAGAUCGGAAUGGGUCGACCGUUUUGGAAUAUAAAAAAAUUCCACGAGGGUCGAGUCAGUCUCCAUUGCCAUUGGAUUCAAUGUUCACAUAUGUUUAAAAUGCUUUUAAUCGCUGGCACGUGACGUUUGCAAGUACGUAGCCGGCUGCUGUUGCCUGUCUUUGAACAGCUAACCAAUAUGCUUUUAUUUUUAAUAAUGAGAUUCUAAGGGCUGUUUGGAAUUAUUGUUGAGAAAUUUAAAAAUAAUUUUUAAAAGUUAAUAGUUAAAGAUGUUAUUUAAGUUGCAUAUAUAAGAAAGCCUAAUUUUUAGAUAUCUCCCUAUUAUUAUUCUCAUUCAUAAUUAUCCAGAAGGGAAAUUAUCCACCGUCCAUCCGUUUUUUCACCAUUUUUUAAAAAUACGCAAAUCUUUUUUUUUUUUUUUACAGCGCUCCACUUGAAGUUAAUAUUUUUUUUCAUUGGUCCACUUUCGUUAUAACACCGUUAGAACUUUGCUAACAUCAUAAGGGUAAAAUUAUCAUUUCACAACAACAUGGUGGUGGACAAAUGCAAACCAAUAUAACUUCAAGUAGGGUUAAGCAAACAAAAAAUUAAGAAUUGUGUAUUUUUGAAACAAUACGAAAAAAAAGUGGUCGGUGGAUAAUUUAUGUUUUACAUUUGAGGGUAAAAAAAUUAUUUAUACAAUAUUCCGUUAGUUUUCUUAACAGUCUCCAAACGGAAGUGGACGAGUGAAAAGAAAUAUAAAUUCAGGUGGAUUCCAGCAAAAAAAAAAAAAAAGAAUUGUGUAUUUUUGAAAAAAUUGAAAAAAACGGAUGGACGGUCGAUAAUUUCCCUAUCCAGAAAUUAAGAUUUUUUUCUUAGUAAAAAUCUAUAUUUGAUAAUUUUCACCUCGAAAAUAAAAUUCGUUUCUUUGUAAAAAUUUCAUAUAUGACAAUCUUCACAUACAGUAGAAUUCAUAGUUUUACCAAUUAAUUCUUUAUUUUGUUAAUCUUUCCAGAGGAAAAAAAAGUACUUUCAUACUUAUAGCUUAUUUUUUUGCACAGAAGGUGUAACUUAAAAGGUAUAAUACCUCAAUCCCAAACAUGUCUUACCUUAGUGUUAAAUGGCUGUAAGCUUGGGUUACCAACAAACAUGAUGUUACCUUCUUUGAAACAAUUAUAUUUGUCGUCAGUUGAAGCGGAUGAUCAUGUUAUUAAAAAUUUAAUUGCUAGGUGUUUGUGAUUGAGGUUAUAAGUCUCAGAUAUUGGAGAUGGUUAAAGGUCUCGAGUUAGUUGGUCUUAGUAAACUCAAUGAGAUCAAGAUAUGGAACAAUUAACAUGAGGAUCUUAAACUACUAGCAAUCAGAGGAUUGAUUGUCCAUUCAAUUCACAUUAGGAAGUUCCUGUUUGUACCAUUUGAGAUCAGCAUAGCCUUUUCUAAGAAUCUUAAACCCUUGAAAUUUAGCAUGGCUUCCAUAACAGAUUCAAGAGCGGCUUUAGUAUUAAGUUAACUAAAUGAUGCUCCAAUUUUUAGAAAGACCCCUAUAUUUGAAAUUUAUUUGAUUAAAACACUAAUGAAUAAUUAUUCUUCUAACAUUUCAAAGAUGUUAUUUAAGUUGCAUAUAUAAGGAAGUCUAAUUUUUAGAUAUCUCCAUAUUAUUACUCCCAUUAAUAAUUAUCCAAAAAUUAAGAAUUUUUUCUUAAUAAAAAUUCUAUAUUUGAUAAUCUUCACAUCGAAAAUAAGAUUCAUUUUUUUAUAAAAAUUUCAUAUAUGGCAAUCUUCACAUACAGUAGAAUUCGUGGUUUUACCUGUUUUUUUUUAUGGGAAAGUAAAACUUUCAUUAAUUCAACAAAGUGAAAACUUACAAAAUUUCAGGAGGAAAAUUCUCCACCCAAACAACAGAUUUAAAUUUUUCAAUAGCCAUCUUAGUCAAAGAUUGGGCACACUCAUUAAAUGAUCUAGGGACAUAUUGUGCUUUAAAGGCUUUGAAAUUCUUUUUUAAAUCUUGAAUUUCCGCAAUGACCAAAUAUAUUUCUGUUAGGCUGCCUUCUCUAUUGUUUAUCAAUUCUGGUACUUCAUGAGAAUCAGUUUCUAGGAUAACUGACUGUAGACCUGCUUCCUGUGCUAUUUUAAUGCCCUACUCAGUUGCUUCUACUUCCACAUAUGUUACAUCUCUCCCAAACCUUGAGGUUUUUAUAGCUGCAACUAAGCACUUUCCAGUGGAGUCUCUGAUUAUUGCUCCCAAUCCCGAGCAUUGUCUUUUGGUGUUAGUAGUUGCAUCAACAUUUAUCUUUAGCCAUCCAUCGGGUGGAGGGGUCGAGGAUUUUGGUUUUUCCUUCUGCAUUUUUCCCAGAUUCAACAUCUCUGGAAAUUUUGUUCUCCUAAAAACUUCAUUGACUGUUUCAUCUUUGGCCAUUUGCAAUCCUUGAUCCAACUUUACACCUUCAAAUACAAAUUUAUUCUGAGCAUGCCAAAUCACCCACCACAUUGACACCACAAGCUCAAGUUCAACUUUACUUAAUUUCUUAUGAAGCAUCAUCAAAUCCCCCAAGAGGUUUGCAUUUCUCAUCUGUUGAAUUGCAUUCACCAUUGAUGAAAGCUGCCAAACCUUUCUUGCUGCUUUGCAAGUGACUAGGGCAUGCAUAGUAUUUUCCACUCUAUUUCUACAAUGCUUGCUGUGACCUUCCUGAAUAAUUCUACGCUUCCACAAAUUCUCAGCUGUCGGUAGUAAUUUUUUAACUCCUUUCCAAAUGAAAAUCUUGAUCUUUUUUGGGAUGGUAAGGGUCUAUAUGAUAUUCCAAUUUCUACCUUUACUGUUGGAGCAAUUUGGUGAAUUCAAAAAAUUUCAUAUUUAUAGCCACUUGGUAUCCACUCUUGACUGAGUAUUUCCCUCUUUUGUCAUAAUGCCAGAUGGCUUGGUCUUUGCUUCGUCCUUUUGGCGAAGGAAUGCUGAGAAUUGCAUCUACAUCUUCCUUUAAAAACAUCUUUUGGAUCAAGUCAGUCUUCCAUAUGCUUUCAUUGUCUAUCAACUCUGAAACAAUAGCAUCGAAAGGCAUCCUUGGACUAGGAAACGGUUUGAAAGUGGAUGGUCUUGGAAUCCAAUUUCCUUUGUAGGCUAAGAUGUUUUACCCAUUACCAAUUCUCUAUCUAUAUCCAUUAAGAAUUACUUGUCGACCCCAAAGUAAGCUUAUCUAAAUAUAAGAUGGGUUUGACCCCAUUGAAGCAUUUAAAAAAUCAAUCUUCUUGAAAAUACCUAGCCUUUAAGACAGUAGUUGCAAGGGAAUCUGGAUUUUGAAUCAAUCUCUAUCCUCGCUUAACUACCAUGACUUGGUUAAAACUUGAUAUGUCUCUAAAGCCCAUUCCCCCUCAAAUUUUAGCUUGACUCAUCUUCUCCCCUCUUAUCCAAACGAUGCCCCUUUUUUUCCUUCUUUUUAUUGCUCACUAAAUAUCAUCACACAGACCACUAGGUAUCUUGAAGACACUCAUUACAUAAGCUGGUUGUGCGACUACUUUCAUCAAGACAUCUUUUCCUCAACUCGAGAAAAGUUUCUGUUGCCAACUAGAGAUCUUGCUCUGGACUUUUAACUUAAUCUUAUUGAAGAAAUUUUUCUUUUUCCUCCUUAUCAUUGAGGGCAUCCUCAAGUACUUCUCAUGCUUUGUUACCACAUUGAGCUGAAAUAUUCUUUUAAUGGCUGAAAUUUGGUUUGCAUAGACAUUGCCGCUGAAGAACAUGCAUGACUUUUCAAAAUUAAAAAUUUGGCCAGAGGCAGUGGCAUAGCAAUCGAACAAACCUUUUAGAUGUUGGAAAUCUUUAAUUGAGGCUUUGGAAAAAAAAAUUAGGCUAUCAUAUGCAAAUAAGAGGUGAGAAAUAGAGAUAUGCUGUCCAAAUUUCAACCCAUGUAUUAACUUGCUUCUCUCAGCCUAAAUUAACAAAUUUGAAAGAGCAUCUGCACAUAUUAUAAACAGAUAAGGAGAUAAAGGGCAUCCCUGCCUCAAGCCCCUUUUAGGAAUAAUCUUGCCCUUUGGUAUUCCAUUUAUGAUUAUAGAAAAGUAUGACGUAGUAAUGCAAUUCAUAAUUAAAUUUAUCAACUUCUUAGCAAAACCUAAUCUGAUCAUUCUCUGCUUUAAAAAAUCCCAUUAUGCCCUAUCGUAAGCUUUGCUGAUAUCUAACUUCAGAGCCACCAAGCCUUUUUUUUUUUUCCUUUGUUAUGCCUAAUCUUAUGGUGGCAUUCAUACCCAACAAUGAUAUUAUCCAUUAUCAAUCUGUUGGGGAUAAAAGCACUCCACGAAGAAUCAAUUACAACAUGUAGGAUAGUUUUCAAUCUAUUUGCAAUAGUUUUACAACAAUCCUAUAAAUGAAAUUACAAAGACUUAUUGGUCUAAAUUCAGUCACUUUCCUAAGCUUUGCAUUAUUGGCAAUUAAAGCAAUGUAUGUGUGGUUCAAAAGAGCAAUGUUACCUGCUUCAUUGAGGAUGUGAAGACAUGUGGUGAUGUUAACUAAUGGUCAGUGCUUCCAAUAAAAGGCAGCCGGUAGCCCAUCAGGGCCUAGUGUCUUGGUUAGACACAUUUGAUUUAGAGCCUCCAUUAUCUCUUCCUCUGUAUAUGGUUGAGUCAGAUACUCAUUCAUUUAAGCUGAAACUUUUGAGACCAUUUCUUUCAAAGCACACUCUAUUUGAUCUUAAGUAGGGUUGGAAGUUGAAAAUAACUCUGCAAAGUAACCGCAGAACUCUUUCUCAAUAUCUUUAUUUUCUUCUACCCAUUUUCCCUAUGCAUCUUCAACUCCUCGAAUUUUGUUCUUCCUCUUUUUUAAAUGAAGCUUUUGAGUGGAAGAAUUUGGUGUUUUUAUCUCCCUCCCUUAAUCAAUCAGCCCUAAACCUCUCUCUGUUUCCAAAAGAUCUCUUCAUCUAAAAGGAGGUUAUGGAUCCGCCUCUCAAUGCUUAUCAAUUCUUCACCCCUAUCCCACUGUCUUUCCUACUGGAGCUCUUAUAUUUUAUUCAUCAGCUUCUCUAAUUUCUUCUUGCUUCCUUUAAAAGUUUUCUUACUCCAGUGUAUUAAUUCAGUUAGUGAAGAUUUACUGGCUUGUUUAAAAAACUGCAUUGCAUUAUCCCCUUACCAGUCUUUGGCUGAUUCUUCCUUUACAAUGUUCUUACACUCAUCAUAGUUGCUCCACAUGUCUUCAUAAUGGGUUCUUGAAAAGGUUCUUUUAUUAUAUGGCUUUCUAUUGGCUCUGCUUAUCACUUCCAUCAAAAUCGAAUUGUGGUCUGAGCACCAUAUAAUCAGAUUUUUUUGCAGCUUGGUUUUGGAAAGAAUUUGUCCAAUCAUUACUACAUAAAAAUCUAUCUAGACGUUCUUCAACAAAGUGGCUACCAAAUCUCCUAUUAGACUAUGUAAAAGGGUGGCUUGUAUAACCCAAAUCUUUCAAAUUGUAAUCCUGAACAUCAUCUCGAAACUCUCUAAUCAUAUAAACCUCCCUGUCUUUUCCUCUAUUUUUUUUUCAUCUAAGUGCAUUAUCUCAUUGAAAUUGCCAAAGCAUAACUAAGGGGGUGAAGAUAACAUGUUAAUCUCCUUAAUAAAGUCCAGGUGUGUUUUUUCUAACUCGUUUCUAAGUGCCCGUAGAUUCUAGUGCAUCUCAUCUGCUUCCCACUUUCAGUUCUACCUCAAUAUCUAUGCAGUGUUUGUUGAAAGAGGUGAUAUCUACCCUUGUUUCGGAAUUCCAAAGCAUAGCUAGACCCCCAUUCUUACCACCUCUACUAACCCAAAAAUAAUUUUCAAACUUCAGCUUCUUGCCAACAUUUUCCAUGUGUACAGAUGUCAAUUUAGUUUCACAUAGAAACAUUAAUUGAGGCCUAUACAAUGUGAGGAAUUUUUGGAGAGCUAUGAGCGUCCGCUCAUUCCCCAUCCCCCAGACGUUCCAGCUUAGAAUCCUCAUAGCUGUCGGCAAGGUUGAUGUUCUGCCUCCGCCGAUUGAGUUGCAUUGUUUAUGUUUUUAACAUUUUCUCCAUUCUUGAAACAACCCAGUUGAGCUUAUAGCUAAGAGGAGAUGUAUUGCAGGAGCUUUCUCUAGCUACUGAGUUUUUUUUGUGGGCUUAGGAUCUGGGUUUUUUUUUUUAUAAUUUGGGCUUGACCUUAUUACUCCACAACCUAGUCUUUUUCCCACAAUUAGCCUUUCUUUUGUGUGUCCUUUGCUACAUACACUGCUAGCUUACAGCUUUCACUUCUUUCUCUUAGGCCUAACAUUUUUUUUGUUUUCGGUCCAUCACAUACUACUUUUUUUGGGCUUGAGUUGCUUUGAUAUUUUUUUGGACUUGUAUUUAGAGUUAAUUUUGGCUCCAAAUUUAGCGCCAAAUUUAACUUUAUUCCCUCCCAAUUCUCCGUUCCCACUUUUUCUCUUUUUUUUCCAUGAUUGUUUAAGUUGUCGGUUGUAUUUUCGGUAUCAGCCAUGUUAGGUUACUUUUGACCGUGUCUUUCGGAUUUCUUGGUUCUAGAGUCAUUUGCAUUAAGUACUCCCUAAUCUUCCUUGUUUAACUAUCAUGAUCUCCCAAAUUAGAUUGGUUUGACUCGGGUUCAUAUUUAUACGGGUCUAAACCAAUUUGUUUUGCCUGCCUUCUCCCAUGGUGUUCUGCUUCUUUUGGUUCGUUAUUGAGCUGCUCAAACCUUCUAUUCCAUCUAUCUUUUCCCCUAUUCAGCCUAGUUUUUUCAACUUUGGAAAAUGCCUUCAUGUACACUCCAUAGGGCAGUUUUUUUUUUUUUUUUUUGGUUGCCCCAUGUAUGAUUCACACUCUUUAAAUUGGUACCAAAUGGUACCACAGCAAAAGCAGAAAUCUGGGAGCCAUUCAUACAAUACUGGCAACUCCACCUUAUCAUCUUCUUCUAGCUCCAACCAUUUUCUGUAAUGGCUUUGUGAUAUCAAUGGAUAUUCUGACUCUUGCAUACAAACGAAUACACUCCCCGUCAUCACAGUUUCAACUUCUAACACCUCUCUAAUCAGUCCUCCCAGCUUUUGAACAUUGUCCCUCUCUAUGCAAACUAUGGGUAUAUUGUGAAUUUGUACCAAAAAACGUGUAUGCGUGAAUUCUUCCUUUCUCAUGUUUCCUAUUCCACUGGGUUCUUUCAACACAAUCAGAGCCUUAUCGAAAUGACAUGGCUCUCCUGCCAUUAUUUUCUGUUUAUCAACUUCUAACCCAAAUUUGAACCGAAAAAUAUUGUUUCUCAUGCUCUCAAUCUUCACCUCUUUUGUUGUUUUCCAUGCUUGUGUUAAUGCAGUUUUGAUCACAUCCGUGUGGACACUCUUUGCCAAUAGAAUUUUCCCAAGCUUGUGUGGACAUCCCUGACUGUUGGUAGGGAAAUUUAUGCCAAAAUGGGGAAACUGCAGAAUGGAUUGCAAGUGAUUCUAUUGUACUGGUUACCAAAAUAGGAUACUUAUGACAGCGGUUGCUGAUUUUUCCACAUGUUCAUAUUUCUUCCAAUAUAACCCAAGUAGUUCAUAACAUUGUAUAUAAUGAUGUAGUUCGACAAGUGUUGCGUAAGAAUCACAACAAUGCAAUUGCAUCAAUAUUGAAUAGGGGUGGGCAAAAUUGGGUUUGAAUCAAUGCACUCUGCAUUGGAGAAAUGAUUUGGGAGAGGAUUAGUUUCAUUCUAUUUGCAAUUGCCUUAGCUACGACUCUAUAAAUUACAUUAUAAAGGCUUAUGGGCCUGUAAUCAAAGACUCUCCUAGGCUUAGCAAUUUUUGGGAUCAAUGCGAUAAAAGUAUAGUUAAGAGGAGACGGGUUACCUUGCUCAUUAAGGAUAUGAAGACAUGUUGUAACAACUCCAUUGCGAAUUAAUUUCCAAUGCUUCUGAAAAAAUACAACAGUUAAGCCACCUGGACCUGGGGCUUUUGUGGGGCACAUCUAUCCUAGAGCCUCCUCUAUAUCCUUUGGAGUGAAGGGCUUCUCCCGCUGGACAUUCAUUUAUGAUGUUACUUUUGCCGGCAUUCUUUGAAGAGCAGCUUGAAUUUGGCUUGGAGUUGGGCUGGAUGUAGUGAAGAGUUCUUGGAAGUAACCGCAGAAUUCCUUUUUCUAUAUCAUCUCUCUCCCUUAGCCAGACGCCUUUAGAGUUUUCUACCCCCCGCACCUUAUUCUUUCUUUUACGGGCAAAAGCUUUGGCAUGGAAAAACUUAGUGUUUUUGUCUCAUUCUCUUAGCCAGUCAGCCCCCGAUCGUUGCUUCCAAUAGAUCUCCUCGUCAAUAAGCAUGAAAUUGAUAUGGCUUUCAAUCUUCCUGAUCUCCUCUCCAUCAGUCAGCUUAGAGCUUCCUUGCAUAGCAUUCUGAAGGCUCUGAAACAACUUUUCUUGUUUUAUUUGUCUUCCUUCAAAUUCGUUUUUACUCCAGAGCCUAAGUUGAGCUAAAAAGUUUUUGCUAUCCGCUGAAAUUGGUGAGCAGGAUCCUCCCAAGCUCUAGCCCCAUAGUUUCCCCAUUCAUCCCUUACUAUGCUCCUACAGUCUUCGUAAGAACUCCACAUUUCCUCAUAGUGCUCACGGGGAAACGAUCUGCUCACAGUCCUCGACUUCUUGCAUCUCUAUUUGAAUUCUAAGACUAUUGGGCAGUGAUUUGAGACCCAAUUAACAAGGUUUGUGGCUGUAGAUUCUUGAAAUUUGUUGCCCCAAUCCUUACUACACAAGAAUCUGUCCAGCCAUUCUUCUAUGUAAUUAACACCAAAUCUCUUAUUAGACCAUGUAUACGGGUACCUCUUGCAGCCCACAACCUCUCUAAACUCGACAACCACAUUUACAUUCUUCUCGUUGCCCCCAUUUUUCUCAUACAUAUGCAUCACUUCAUUGAAAUCCCCAAAGCAACACCAAGGGUGGGAAGAAAGAUUAGCUAACCUUUUUAGAAUGGUCCAUGUGUUGUGCUUCUAGCUGAGCUUUGGGUGGCCAUAAAUCCCCGUACAUCUCCAAACCAAGUCACUUUCACUACUCACUAUUGCAUCUAUAUGGUGGGGCCUGUAUGAGGUGAUAUUGACAUUAACGUCUGCUCCCCAGAGCAUAGCUAGGCCUUCACCCAAACCAUUUCUGUCCACGGCAAAACAAUUUGCAAAAUUAAAACUUCUGUAAAUUAAAUUGACAUGCCUAGCCAUCAUCUUAGUUUCACAACAAAAUAGUAUUUGGGGCCGGUGCAGGUAGAGAACUUUUCUAAUUGCUAAGUGCGUUCAAGACUUCCCCAGACCUCGAACGUUCCAGCUGAGGAUCUUCAUAGUUGUCGGCGGGUGCUGAUGAUAGGUCUUCAUCCAUUACUUCCAAGUUUUAUCCAACAUCUAGCACUUCUUCUGCUUGUUUCAGCUAGCGAACUACUUUGUUGGGGCUAAAAUGGUUGCAGUUGCCUAAUGCUUUUGCUAGGCUUAUGUGUUUUCCUUCCUAUGGUUGCUUUUCUGGACUGGACACUCACUUCUUUCUGCUCUUUGGGCUAGGCCCAUGGCCUUCACUGUUGUGUCUUUUACUUCCUAUGAAAUUAAUAUUAUUUGCUCCUUCUCCUUUGGUGUUUCUUGCCCGCAAUGUCCAUUUUCUUCCUUUGGAUUUCACGGUGGCCUUGCUAGGCCCAUUAUCCAAAUCCUCUUCAUCUAAUUUGGCACCCCCCGUGUCCUCCUUCAUUUUAUUUUCCGUGUUCCCCACAUUGUCUUUUUCUACAAGAUUUUCAUUUUCCCUCCAAUCCUUCUUUUCCGCCUUUUUUGCGUUCAUAUCUAGAUUGGCUAUCAUUACUAGCCACUCUGUCCUGCAACUUGUUGAUGUCACCAUCCUGCUUUAAUGCACCACUUGCUGGUUUUCCUGCUCUGUUACACUCAACAUUAGAUGUUGCCCAUCAGCUCUUAGUUCCUUGCUUUUACCCACUGGUUCAUCACCAUUAUCUAUCGCCGAACCCGAUUUGAUCAGGUAAGACCCAUUUUGACUAUCCGAGUUGUUUUGAGACUGGUAUGGCCUUAGGCUAGUUGUUGCUGAAUCAUUUGCUCUGGAAUGGAAUUGUUCUCGAUUGCCUUUCUCUUUACUUCGAUUUUGUUUUACCCUUUCAGCCUAAGUGACUACUCUCAUCCAUCCCCCGUAAGGCAGAUCCUCCUUUUGUUGUCCUUUGUACCUCAGGCACUCUUUGUACUGAUGACCUACAUGCACGCAACAAAAGCAAAAGUCUGGUAGCUUUUCAUAAUGGAUUGGCAUUGGAAUUUUUCCUUCAUCUUGUUGUAAAAACACAAUCUUUUUUAAUGGCUGAGUAAUGUCAAGGGAGAUUCUUACUCGAGCAAACUGUCCUAUGCAAUAUCCGGCUUCGUCUGUCUUUAUUUCCUUGACCUCACUAAUCUUUUCACCCAGUUUUUGAAUUACCUCAUUGUUCAUGCACAUUAUGGGUGUAUUAUGGAUCUGUACCCAAAAUGUUGUAUGCGUAAAGGAUUGAUUUUUGAUAUCACCAAUGUCGGAUGGUUCGAUCAAAACUAUCAGUGCUCUAUCAAAAUGCCAUGGCCCUCCCAUAAGCACUCUUUUCUUUUCUUAUUCUGAAGCAAACUUGAAGAGAAAAUUAUUAUCCCCCAUGCUUUCAAUUUUUACCUCUUUCACUGUUCUCCAAGCUGUUUGCAUAGCUGCUUUCAAGCCUUCCCUGUUUAUGCUUCGUGAAAGCAACACCUUCCCUACUAGACAAUUCGCAGCAACUUCUUCUCCCUUAAUCCUCAUUUGCCCCAUGAAUGCUACUAUGUCUGCUUCUUCUUCUUUUAGAACGACAGCCUGACACUUGCGCAAUAAAUCCUCAGUAUCCAUACUUAGCUGUGAAUCCAGCAAUAACUUAGCUCACCUACCUUCUAUUAUCCGCAAAUAAAAGCUAAAAGAAGGAGUUAAUCACCCAAAUUCCUUUGAGAAGUACUAUGGAAAAUUGUAAAAGAACACCCAACUGGUGAGCGAAUGAAAAAGCCAAAAUAGGCUUCAGUCUCCUUUCAUUCUAGUACCUUUUCAGAGAAAAAAUACUAUAGAAGAAAGAGUAUAUGUGUCAUUGUUAUUCUGUACAUGUGUGGUGUUAAUCGAAUACAAUUAGGUUUAGUUUUACUCUUUUAUAGUUUUAGAUUAAAUAUUUUAUUUUAGAUACGAACCUUGACCAAUUCAAAUCAAUUCUACUAACUGAUUUUUAAUCCAAAAUAAUAUAUAUAUUUAGUUUUCAUCAAAUGGCUGAGAAAUGGGCCAAGCCCGUAUGCACACGUGUGAAGACCUGUUUUAUGUUUUGUCAAUUUGGAGUAGUGUAAGUAUUUUGAAAUUAACUGAAGGGAAAGCGAAGUAUGUAUUCAAACAUGCUGGUGAUGAAUUGCUCCAUGUUAAUUCGUUUUCCAAUUUAUGAGACGAAAGGAUGGUUUUGAGUUUGAUACCACAAUGCUUCGUCUUUCUUUUAUCCUUCUGAUUUUUGAGAAUUGCAGUCUCAAUUGGAAUGAGAGAGGAAGUGUAUGUAAACGUAUAGGUAUAGCCCUUGGCCUUAACGCAUAUACAAUUUUAUUGAGAUAACCUAUAUUGGCUUUUACAUAAACACAGUACAUCUAUAAACAUUCAGAAAACAGGAUUAAAUCCGAGAUAAUGCUUUAUCAGUCUAAUCAUUUUUCUUGGUAACCAAAGAAGAGGUGUUGAGAAAUGGAUAAUCUGUGUAACCAACAACAGGAUCGGAUGUGUAGAAUGUUUCUCUGUUGUACUUAUUGAGGGGAGCAUUGAGCUCAAAUCUCCUGGGUAAAUCUGGAUUAGCCAAGAACAAGCGACCAUAAACAACAAGAUCUGCACGGCCUUCAGCAAUAGCUUUGUUUCCAUCUUCCCUGUCAUAACCCCCAGCGACAAGAAAAGUACCCUUGAAAGCCUUUCUCAUGGGCAGCAAACUGUGAGGACAUUCAGAUUUUUCUUCACGUGUUUUCAUCCUCGGCUCAACCAUGUGACAAUAGAGGAUACCAUAUUUGUUCAAGGAUUCUGCCAUGUAAAGACCUAAAGCUUCCGGGUUAGAGUCGCCUGAUUCCAUAUAGUUUGCAAACGGAGAUAGUCUUAUCCCAACCCUAUCUGCCCCUAUUUCAUUGGAAACAGCUUCAACUAUUUCUAAAGUAAAACGGCAACGGUUCUCUAAGGAUCCUCCAUACUGGUCUGUUCGAUCAUUCACUUGAUCCUUCAAAAAUUGGUCAAUUAGGUAGCCAUGUGCACCAUGGAGCUCAACGCCAUCGAAGCCUAUACAGCAUAAGACAAAGUUAGAAUCCAAAAACCUGUGCAGCACGAACACUUCAUUUAUCUAACUCUUCUCAUAUAACUAAAAGCUCUGAGGCUCGCAUUGUGCGGACAGACAGACUGAGGGUCAAGCAUUCAUUUUAAGAAGAAGAAAAAGUAUUUAAGCAUUUACUAGGUUGGCUCUCAAAGUUAAUCCAAGGCAGUUUUGUGAUGUCUCAGAGAUGCAGGCACAAAGCUACAAAACUACUCAGAGUUGCAGGUACUCAAUCCCUACUUUAACUAACAACAAAACAGUUGAUAAGAUCAUAAAAAACAAAGUCUCAACCAUCAUUUUAGAUGACAAAAGGAGUCACAUGUAAGAUUCUAGAACCCAUUCCAAAUAAUCGACUAUUGUAAUGACUCCAUUUACAUUAAUGACACAUGUAGGUAAGGUGUUAAGUUUUCAAAUUCUUUAAUCAAUAUGAUAAAUACAACUAUGGGACAAUAGACAUAAUUGUAAAGAAACUUAACUGCUUUCACAUAAACCUUACGGUACAAUAAAACAACAUUAUUUACAAACCACAAAAGGCUAGUAAAAAUCUAUUAAUGCAUUCAUGUUUAGUUUUCCUUUCCUUCUGAUAGCCAUUAAUGGAAUGGAAGAAUCUCACUAUUCGUUUAUACAUAUUUUCCUUAAUCUCAAGAAAAGUAGACCAGUGAAAUAUCACCCAUCCUGUGGCGAGCUUAAAACAUUUAUUGCCCACAAUUCAAGUUUUAAUUUAAGAAAAAAGAAUUUAC